GGGGAAUAUUGCACAAUGGGCGAAAGCCUGAUGCAGCAACGCCGCGUGAGUGAAGAAGGUUUUCGGAUUGUAAAGCUCUGUCAUCUGGGACGAUAAUGACGGUACCAGAUGAGGAAGCCACGGCUAACUACGUGCCAGCAGCCGCGGUAAUACGUAGGUGGCAAGCGUUGUCCGGAUUUACUGGGCGUAAAGGGAGCGUAGGUGGAUAUUUAAGUGGGAUGUGAAAUACUCGGGCUUAACCUGGGUGCUGCAUUCCAAACUGGAUAUCUAGAGUGCAGGAGAGGAAAGUAGAAUUCCUAGUGUAGCGGUGAAAUGCGUAGAGAUUAGGAAGAACACCAGUGGCGAAGGCGGUUCUCUGGACUGUAACUGACGCUGAGGCACGAAAGCGUGGGGAGCAAAC
rnacentral:rRNA from 1 species